rnacentral:rRNA from 1 species
GACGAACGCUGGCGGCGCGCCUAACACAUGCAAGUCGAACGAGAGAGAAGGAGCUUGCUUCUUCGAUCGGGUGGCGAACGGGUGAGUACCGCGUGAGGAACCUGCCUCAAAGAGGGGGACAACAGUUGGAAACGACUGCUAAUACCGCAUAAGCCCACAGGUCGGCAUCGACCAGAGGGAAGAGGAGUAAUCCGCUUUGAGAUGGCCUCGCGUCCGAUUAGCUAGUUGGUGAGGUAAUGGCCCACCAAGGCGACGAUCGGUAGCCGGACUGAGAGGUUGAACGGCCACAUUGGGACUGAGACACGGCCCAGACUCCUACGGGAGGCAGCAGUGGGGAAUAUUGCACAAUGGGGGAAACCCUAAUGCAGCGACGCCGCGUGGAGGAAGAAGGUCUUCGGAUUGUAAACUCCUGU